rnacentral:rRNA from 1 species
UGGGGAAUAUUGCACAAUGGGGGAAACCCUGAUGCAGCGACGCCGCGUGAGUGAAGAAGUAUUUCGGUAUGUAAAGCUCUAUCAGCAGGGAAGAAAAUGACGGUACCUGAGUAAGAAGCCCCGGCUAACUACGUGCCAGCAGCCGCGGUAAUACGUAGGGGGCGAGCGUUAUCCGGAUUUACUGGGUGUAAAGGGAGCGUAGACGGCAAUGCAAGUCUGAAGUGAAACCCCAAGGCUCAACCAUGGGCAUGCUUUGGAAACUGUGUAGCUAGAGUGCAGGAGAGGCAGGCGGAAUUCCUAGUG